UGGGGAAUAUUGCACAAUGGGCGAAAGCCUGAUGCAGCGACGCCGCGUGAGGGAUGACGGCCUUCGGGUUGUAAACCUCUUUCAGCAGGGACGAAGCGCAAGUGACGUUACCUGCAGAAGAAGCACCGGCUAACUACGUGCCAGCAGCCGCGGUAAUACGUAGGGUGCAAGCGUUGUCCGGAAUUACUGGGCGUAAAGCGUUCGUAGGCGGUUUGUCGCGUCGUUUGUGAAAACCAGCAGCUCAACUGCUGGCUUGCAGGCGAUACGGGCAGACUUGAGUGCUGCAGGGGAGACUGGAAUUCCUGGUGUAGCGGUGAAAUGCGCAGAUAUCAGGAGGAACACCGGUGGCGAAGGCGGGUCUCUGGGCAGUAACUGACGCUGAGGAACGAAAGCGUGGGUAGCGAACAGG
rnacentral:rRNA from 1 species